GUUAAAGUGGCUGAUAAUAAGCGAUAAAUUGUAAAUUUAUUUAUGAAUAAGAAUUCCUUUAUCA
rnacentral:tRNA from 1 species